GACGAACGCUGGCGGCGUGCUUAACACAUGCAAGUCGAACGGAAAGGCCCUGCUUUUGUGGGGUGCUCGAGUGGCGAACGGGUGAGUAACACGUGAGUAACCUGCCCUUGACUUUGGGAUAACUUCAGGAAACUGGGGCUAAUACCGGAUAGGAGCUCCUGCUGCAUGGUGGGGGUUGGAAAGUUUCGGCGGUUGGGGAUGGACUCGCGGCUUAUCAGCUUGUUGGUGGGGUAGUGGCUUACCAAGGCUUUGACGGGUAGCCGGCCUGAGAGGGUGACCGGCCACAAUGAGACUGAGAUACGGCACAGACUCCUACGGAAUGCAGCAGUGGAGAAUAUUGCACAAUAGGCGGAAGCCUGAUGCAGCAACGCCGCGGGCGGGAUGACGGCCUUCGGGUUGUAAACGGCUUUCGCCUGUGACGGAGCGCGAGUGACUGUAAUGGGUAAAGAAGCUCCGGCUAACUACGUG
rnacentral:rRNA from 1 species